GGGCGAUUAGCUCAGUUGGCUAGAGUACCUGCUCGACACGCAGGGGGUCACUGGUUCGAAUCCAGUAUCGCCCA
rnacentral:tRNA from 1 species